GUUAUUUUUAGUCUUCUACCUAAGAAUUCUGUCUCUUAGGCUUUCUCUUCCCAGUUUUCCCAAAGUUGGGAAAAGCUGGGUUGAGAGGGCAAAAGGAAAAAGAAAAAAAA
rnacentral:pre_miRNA from 1 species